rnacentral:lncRNA from 1 species
CCGCGGAAAAAUGGCCAAAAAACGGGUGGGCUAUAGCCUUGGUGGGGGGCGCGGGCGAAGUUCGUCCGCCGGACUCGGAAUGGGGCUAGACUUUGCGAGGGGCCUCGGGGUGCCAAAAAUAAGCCUCGGGCAAAGCCGCGUCCAAAAAUAAGCACCCGAAGGUCGUGGUGCCAAAACCCCCCAGCGGAAAAAUGGCCAAAAAACGGGUGGGCUAUAGCCUUGGUGGGGGGCGCGAGCGAAGUUCGUCCUCCGGACUCGGCAUGGGGCGAGACUUUGCGAGGGGCCUCGGGGUGCCCGCGGGAAGUCGCGGGCACAGCCGCGCCCAAAAAUAAGCGCCCGAAGGUCGUGGUACCAAAACCCCCCAGCGGAAAAAUGGCCAAAAAACGGGUGGGCUAUAGCCUUGGUGGGGGGCACGGGCGAAGUUCGUCCGCCGGACUCGAAAUGGGGCGAGACUUUGCGAGGGGCCUAGGGGCGCAGAAAUAAGCCGCGGGCAAAGCCACGCCCAAAAAUAAGCGCCCGAAGGUCGUGGUGCCAAAACCCCCCAGCGGAAAAAUGGCGAAAAAACGGGUGGGCUAUAGCCUUGGUGGGGGGCGCGGGCGAAGUUCGUCCGCCGGACUCGGAAUGGGGCGAGACUUUGCGAGGGGCCUCGGGGUCCCCGCGGGAAGUCGCGGGCACAGCCGCGCCCAAAAAUAAGCUUCCGAAGGUCGUGGUGCCAAAACCCCCCAGCGGAAAAAUGGCCAAAAAACGGGUGGGCUAUAACCUUGGUGGGGGGCGCGGGCGAAGUUCGUCCGCCGGACUCGGAAUAGGUCGAGACUUUGCGAGGGUCCAUGGGGUGCCUGCGGGAAGUCGCGGGCACAGCCGCGCCCAAAAAUAAGCGCCCAAAGGUCGUGGUGCCAAAACCCCCCAGCAGAAAAAUGGCCAAAAAACGGGUGGGCUAUAGCCUUGGUGGGGGGCGCGGGCGAAGUUCGUCCGCCGGACUCGGAAUGGGGCAAGCCUUUGCGAGGGGCCUCAGGGAGCCAAAAAUAAGCCGCGGGCAAAGCCGCGCCCAAAAAUAAUCGCCCGAAGGUCGUGGUGCCAAAACCCCCCAGCGGAAAAAUGGCCAAAAAACGGGUGGGCUAUAGCCUUGGUGGGGGGAGCGGGCGAAGUUCGUCCGCCGGACUCGGAAUGGGGCGAGACUUUGCGAGGGGCCUCGGGGCGCCAAAAAUAAGCCGCGGGCAAAGCCGCGCCCAAAAAUAAGCUCCCGAAGGUCGUGGUGCCAAAACCCCCCAGCGGAAAAAUGGCCAAAAAACGGGUGGGCUAUAGCCCUGGUGGGGGGCGCGGGCGAAGUUCGUCCGCCGGACUCGGAAUGGGGCGAGACUUUGCGAGGGGCCUCGGGGUCCCCGCGGGAAGUCGCGGGCACAGCCGCGCCCAAAAAUAAGCUUCCGAAGGUC